rnacentral:rRNA from 1 species
GGAAGGAUCAUUACCGAAUUGUCAACACGAGUUGUUGCUGGUCCUCAAAUGGGGGCACGUGCACACUCUGUUCACACAUCCACUCACACCUGUGCACCCUCCGUAGCUCUGUGGCCUGGGGGGCUCUGUCCUCCUUGCUGUGGUUCUAUGCCUUUACACACACACCGUAACAGUCUUAUGGAAUGUAUAUGUCGCGUCUAACGCAAUACAAUACAACUUUCAGCAACGGAUCUCUUGGCUCUCGCAUCGAUGAAGAACGCAGCGAAAUGCGAUAAGUAAUGUGAAUUGCAGAAUUCAGUGAAUCAUCGAAUCUUUGAACGCACCUUGCGCCCUUUGGCUAUUCUGAAGGGCAUGCCUGUUUGAGUAUCAUGAACACCUCAACUCGUCGUGGUGUGCCACGAUGAGCUUGGACUCUGGGGGUCUUGCUGGCCUACGGUCGGCUCCUCUCAAAUGAAUCAGCUUGCCAGUGUUUGGUGGCAUCGCAGGUGUGAUAACUAUCUACGCUUGUGGUUUUCCACCAGGUAACUUUCAGCAAUGGAGGUUCGCUGGAGCUCACAAAUGUCUCUCCUUGGUGAGGACAGCUUCUGAAUGUUUGAUCUCAAAUCAGGUAGGACUACCCGCUGAACUUAAGCAUAUCAAUAAGCGGAGGAAAAGAAACUAACAAGGAUUCCCCUAGUAACUGCGAGUGAAGCGGGAAGAGCUCAAAUUUAAAAUCUGGCAUGCCUCUGGCUGUCCGAGUUGUAGUCUGGAGAAGCGUUUUCCGUGUUGGACCGUGUACAAGUCUCUUGGAACAGGGCGUCAUAGAGGGUGAGAAUCCCGUCUUUGACACGGACUACCAAUGCUUUGUGAUGCGCUCUCAAAGAGUCGAGUUGUUUGGGAAUGCAGCUCAAAAUGGGUGGUAAAUUCCAUCUAAAGCU